rnacentral:rRNA from 1 species
CCUAAUACAUGCAAAUCGAACGAAGCCUUUUUGGCUUAGUGGUGAACGGGUGAGUAACACGUAUCCAAUCUACCCUUAAGUUUGGGAUAACUAGUCGAAAGAUUAGCUAAUACCGGAUAAUAACAUUUACUUGCAUGAGUGAAUGUAGAAAGUUGCGUUUGCAACGCUUUUGGAUGRGGGUGCGACGUAUCAGAUAGUUGGUGAGGUAACGGCUCACCAAGUCAUUGACGCGUAGCUGUACUGAGAGGUAGAACAGCCACAAUGGGACUGAGACACGGCCCAUACUCCUACGGGAGGCAGCAGUAGGGAAUUUUUCACAAUGGGCGAAAGCCUUAUGAAGCAAUGCCGCGUGAACGAUGAAGGUCUAUAAGAUUGUAAAGUUCUUUUAUUUGGGAAGAACCACUAAAAUAGGAAAUGAUUUUAGUUUGACUGUACCAUUUGAAUAAGUAUCGGCUAACUAUGUGCCAGCAGCCGCGGUAAUACAUAGGAUGCAAGCGUUAUCCGGAUUUACUGGGCGUAAAACGAGCGCAGGCGGAUUUGUAAGUUUGGUAUGAAAUCUAGAUGCUUAACGUCUAGCUGUAUCAAAAACUACGAAUCUAGAGUGUAGCAGAGAGUUGGGGAACUCCAUGUGGAGCGGUAAAAUGCGUAGAUAUAUGGAAGAACACCGGUGGCGAAGGCGCCAACUUGGACUAUUACUGACGCUUAGGCUCGAAAGUGUGGGGAGCAAAUAGGAUUAGAUACCCUAGUAGUCCACACCGUAAACGAUCAUCAUUAAAUGUCGGCUCGCUUAUGAGUCGGUGUUGUAGCUAACGCAUUAAAUGAUGUGCCUGGGUAGUACAUUCGCAAGAAUGAAACUCAAACGGAAUUGACGGGGACCCGCACAAGUGGUGGAGCAUGUUGCUUAAUUUGACAAUACACGUAGAACCUUACCUAGGUUUGACAUCUAUUGCAAUGCUAUAGAAAUAUAGCGGAGGUUAACAAUAUGACAGGUGGUGCAUGGUUGUCGUCAGCUCGUGUCGUGAGAUGUUGGGUUAAGUCCCGCAACGAGCGCAACCCCUUUCGCUAGUUAAUUUAUCUAUCGAUACUGCUACCGCAAGGUAGAGGAAGGUGGGGAUGACGUCAAAUCAUCAUGCCCCUUAUAUCUAGGGCUGCAAACGUGCUACAAUGGCUAAUACAAACAGCUGCAAUACCGUAAGGUGGAGCGAAUCUGAUAAAGUUAGUCUCAGUUCGGAUAGAGGGCUGCAAUUCGCCCUCUUGAAGUUGGAAUCACUAGUAAUCGCGAAUCAGACAUGUCGCGGUGAAUACGUUCUCGGGUCUUGUACACACCGCCCGUCAAACUAUGGGAGCCGGUAAUAUCUGAAACCGUACUGUUAACCUUUUUGGAGGCAUACGUCUAGGGUAGGAUUGGUGACUGGAGUUAAGUCGUAACAAGGUAUCCCUACGAGAACGUGGGGAUGGAUCACCUCCUUUCUUCGGAGUAAAUUUUAAAUUUACGUACUAAGUGUACAUUUAUACAAAAUCCAUUAUAUAUAGCCACAAUUAUUAUUUUUAUUACAUUCAUAUAAUGGUCGGAUUCUAUUUAGUUUUGAGAGAUUCAUUCUCUCCCAUAUUAGUUUUUAAUAUGGUGAUCGAUCUUUGAAAACUGAAUAAUAUCAACAAAUCUUUCUAAUCAAUGACGAUUGAAUUUGUCAUUGAAAAGAUACUAUAUUUUUAAUAUAGUUAACAAUCAUAUAACAAAACUUAAAGGAUUUAUAAUAAGUUACUAAGAGCUUAUGGUGAAUGCCUUGGGACAAACAGGCGAUGAAGGACGUGCAAAUCUGCGAUAAGCAACGGGUAGUUGAUAAGAAACGCCAAUCCGUUGAUCUCCGAAUGAGGAAACUCAGUAUAGUAACUCCAUUACUAUACUAUUAUUAAGUGAAUACAUAGCUUAAUAAAGCGAUACUUGGUGAAGUGAAACAUCUCAGUAGCCAAAGGAAAAGAAAACGAAUGUGAUUCCCUCAGUAGCGGCGAGCGAAAGGGGAGCAGGCCAAACCAAGAUUUAUCUUGGGGUUGUAGGACUACAAUGUGGACUAAAUAAUGAUAGUAGAAUUGGUUGGGAAGCCAAAUCAUAGAGGGUGAUAAUCCCGUAUACGAAAUCAUUAUUUUACCUAGUAGUAUCCUGAGUAUGGCGGGACACGUGGAAUCCUGUCUGAAUCUGCCCAGACCAUUGGGUAAGCCUAAAUACUAGUUUGUCACCGAUAGCGCAUAGUACCGUGAGGGAACGGUGAAAAGAACCCAGAGAUGGG